rnacentral:rRNA from 1 species
UACGUAGGGUGCGCGCGUUAAUCGGAAUUACUGGGCGUAAAGCGUGCGUAGGCGGUUCGUUAUGUCUGCUGUGAAAGCCCCGGGCUUAACCUGGGAAUGGCAGUGGAAACUGGCGGGCUUGAGUGUGGCAGAGGGGGGUGGAAUUCCACGUGUAGCAGUGAAAUGCGUAGAUAUGUGGAGGAACACCGAUGGCGAAGGCAGCCCCCUGGGUCAAAACUGACGCUCAUGCACGAAAGCGUGGGGAGCAAACAGG